UGAGGAAUAUUGGUCAAUGGGCGCAAGCCUGAACCAGCCAUCCCGCGUGCAGGAUGAAGGCCCUAUGGGUCGUAAACUGCUUUUAUACACCAAGAAAAACUCGAACGUGUUCGAGCCCGACGGUAGUGUAUGAAUAAGCAUCGGCUAACUCCGUG
rnacentral:rRNA from 1 species